rnacentral:misc_RNA from 1 species
GAUGAAGAACGCAGCGAAGUGCGAUAAGUAAUGUGAAUUGCAGAAUUCCGUGAAUCAUCGAAUCUUUGAACGCAAAUUGCACUUUCUGGUAUUCCGGAGAGUAUGCCUGUUUGAGGGUCAGUGUAAUAAAAAUAAAUCGUGGUUGUUACCACUUUUCGUGGUGACGCUUCGGAAUUGAGUCGUCUUACCUUCGGUUAAGUGACUUAAAAUUUUUUCAUACGAUUUCGAAACGUAUUUAAUGUAUUAUGUAUGUUCACGAAUAUCGAAUGUUUAUUAGGUGCGGUCAUUUUCAUGAAUUCGCGUCCAUAAUUUUUUUUUUUUUGACCUCAAAUCAGGUAAGAAUACCCGCUGAACUUAAGCAUAUCAAUAAGCGGAGGA